UACUGUUGAACUUGAGGUCGGGAGAGGUUAGCGGUACGUCCCACGGGUAGAGGUGAAAUUCUGUAAGUCCUGGGAGGACCACCUGUGGCGAAGGCGGCUAACUGGAACGAACCUGACGGUGAGGGACGAAAGCUAGGGGCGCGAACCGGAUUAGAUACCCGGGUAGUCCUAGCCGUAACGAUGCGGACUUGGUGUUGGGAUGGCUUUGAGCCGCUCCGGUGCCGAAGGGAAGCUGUUAAGUCCGCCGCCUGGGAAGUACGGUCGCAAGACCGAAACUUAAAGGAAUUGGCGGGGGAGCACCACAACGCGUGGAGCCUGCGGUUUUAAAUUGGAUUCAACGCCGGACAUCUCACCAGGAGCGACAGCUGUAUGAUUACCAGGCUGAUGACCUUGCUUGACUAGCUGAGUAGUGGUGCAUGG
rnacentral:rRNA from 1 species